ACGGAAUUCAGUAACAAUGGAUUAAAUUAUAUUUUCAUCUAGCUAUAAUACAGAUCAAAUACAUGUGUACAUUCGAAAAAUUAGAACAGAUUUACUAUUUAGCUCGAGAACAUGCUGACACACGGCGAUUAUUUAGGAUAUAAAUCGAUAGAAAGCAUUUUGUAGAUAAAAAUCGAUGAAUAUCAAUAAUAAUCGAUAAAAUUGGCUAUGACUUUUUGUGACUAUUGAUUGGUCAUCGAUUGACCAAUGUCAAUCGAUAUCAAUUAAGUAAUUAACAUCGAUUGAUCGAUUGGAUUUCCGAUCGGAUUAUCGAUUAAGUACGCCAGGAAUAUUGAGGUUUUGAGUUGGUUUUAAAAACAAAAUUUUAAAUGUUUUCGUACAGUAUACAACCGGAGUAGUAGAAUUUGAAAUUUACUAUUCCGUUUCAAGAUCCUCGGGUCCACUACAAAUCAAAACUUUUUUUUGUGUUUUAAUGGUGUAAUGUUCAUCUUUUGUCAGUUGUUGGGGCAUGGUGCCACUAACACAAAAAUAUAGUUUUCAAAGUUGCCGUUGCUAUGGUUACCGAGAUUAAUUACCCCCUAUGGUGAAAAAUGGACACAUUUGUAAACAUGAUAUCUGAAGAAGUAUGCAAGAUAAAAACCUGAAAUAACUUUUUUUUAAUAGUUUAGAACAUGGUCUAGGGAAUGAACUACACUUACAUUGAUGGAGCCAAUAAUACAUUUUUUACAGCCAAAAUAUUGAAAAUGCAGGACAUCGGUAUGACCUUGACUAUCAUAUUUUUUGUACUAUUGCAGAUAUUGCUAUGAUUGUAGUUCAUUCCCAAGAGUAUAAAAUACAGAAGCUACAGUGAAAAUUUGAAGUUAAUAGCUCAAAUACUUUUUAAGAUAUUGUGCAUGCAAUAUCAGUCAUUGGCCAUUUUCGGAUAUUUGAGAAAAACAGCUUUAAAGUUUAACAUACACAUUUUAAGAGUGAUAAUCAUCAAGGAUUGAUGAAGAAAGUCAGGAGUGGCCAAGAUCAAAGUUAAAAGGCUCCUGCCUCAUAUGUAUUCCCCUCUGCUUCCUUGUUUUUGUCUUCUUUGUUCUUUUUAUGCCCUCGAAGGACCUUUCUCUUCUUCUUGACUUCAGGCGUAGCUCGAUAAUCCGCUUUCUUGAUGCGCUUUUUGUCUGCUUGGCAAAUACCCUCUUCAAAGUGGAAGCCUGGAUUUAAUCCCUCUUCUUGCAGAAUGUUAAUAGCAGCCCUUGAACCCAUGUUAAAAUGAGCCACUGCAUCAUAUACACCCAAUUCCAGAACAGUUGCACCCACAAAAGUACUCUUUGGAAGCCUGUUCCAAAUCAUACCGUUGAAGGACUCGUUCUGGUUUUGGGUUUUGCCAUCUAAACAUUUGCUCAACAAAGCAUCGUUGCUCAGUCUACAAUAAAUAGGUUUGACAAGACUAAUGAUGUUAUCUGGCAGACCAGGUCCAGGCUUGUACAAAUUAGUGUUAUUAGCCUUGUCUUGUUUAUAACGGCACCAGCCAUCUGGACCAUCAGGACAGUAAUUGUGGAGAUUACGCUUCUCUGAAGACACACAAUGAAAAAGGCUAGCAUAAAUUGCCGACUUCAUCCCAUUCAAAUCUCCACAAUUACUCCUGAUGGCAAUUCCAUAAUAGUUCUGUAGUUUAUCAAUUAGGCUGUCAGUUAGUUUUCCUUUUCCCCCGAUACCUUUGUUCUCUUUUUUUAGCUUCCGAAGAGCUGUUCCGACACGCUUUUGGACGUGACCAACACAUUCCUUCUUUUCAACCUGAACAUUAUCAUAUACAUGCUCAAUCUCUGAAUAUGCUUUGCUGUCCCCAUCACCAAAAUACUCUGUAUACUGUAGUUGCCGGGUGGUUUCACUUCGGCCAAAAAUCCUUUUGAUGCCCACAGUCUCCAUAGCUGGUGAGGAUCCUUUGUAAUUUAUCUUACAUGAAUGCUUUUCUACCAUAUCAGCUUUCUUAGAAGCAUCCUUCUGUCUGGCAAUUCUUUGGCACCCAUGACAAACUUUGGUCAAGACUUCUACAUCCAAGCACUUUCCAGUGUCAAUAGAUAAUGUGGUGACGCAGCCAUGAAGAGACGAAUAUCCUCGUCGCUGCCAGGUUCCAUCACACGAGACACCACAGCGGG